rnacentral:tRNA from 1 species
GCCAGUGUGGCUCAGUGGGUUAGAGCAUCAUCUUGUGCACCAGAAGGUCUCAGGUUCAAUUCCUGGUCAGGGCA